AACGAACGCUGGCGGCGUGCUUAACACAUGCAAGUCGAACGCGAAAAGGACUUCGGUCCUGAGUAAAGUGGCGCACGGGUGAGUAACGCGUAGAUAACCUGUCUUCACGUCUGGAAUAAUACGCCGAAAGGGGUACUAAUACCGGAUAUUCUUGCUUUUCAUAAGUUUUGCAAGGAAAGGUGGCCUCUGUAUAUGCUACUGCGGGAAGAGGGGUCUGCGUACCAUUAGCUAGUAGGUGGGGUAAUGGCCUACCUAGGCAACGAUGGUUAGCGGGUCUGAGAGGAUGAUCCGCCACACUGGCACUGGAACACGGGCCAGACUCCUACGGGAGGCAGCAGUGAGGAAUAUUGCGCAAUGGGGGAAACCCUGACGCAGCGACGCCGCGUGAGUGAGGAAGGCCUUCGGGUCGUAAAGCUCUGUCAAAGGGAAAGAAGUGCAUGAUGGCUAAUACCUGUCGUGUUUGACGGUACCCUUAAAGGAAGCACCGGCUAACUCCGUGCCAGCAGCCGCGGUAAUAC
rnacentral:rRNA from 1 species